rnacentral:rRNA from 1 species
UAGGGAAUCUUCGGCAAUGGACGAAAGUCUGACCGAGCAACGCCGCGUGAGUGAAGAAGGUUUUCGGAUCGUAAAACUCUGUUGUUAGAGAAGAACAAGGACGUUAGUAACUGAACGUCCCCUGACGGUAUCUAACCAGAAAGCCACGGCUAACUACGUGCCAGCAGCCGCGGUAAUACGUAGGUGGCAAGCGUUGUCCGGAUUUAUUGGGCGUAAAGCGAGCGCAGGCGGUUUCUUAAGUCUGAUGUGAAAGCCCCCGGCUCAACCGGGGAGGGUCAUUGGAAACUGGGAGACUUGAGUGCAGAAGAGGAGAGUGGAAUUCCAUGUGUAGCGGUGAAAUGCGUAGAUAUAUGGAGGAACACCAGUGGCGGAGGCGGCUCUCUGGUCUGUAACUGACGCUGAGGCUCGAAAGCGUGGGGAGCAAACAGG